CGCUAAGCUGACCUGAAAGCAAGAGAUCCAGAAUGGCAGUUUAGGGCCCAGUCCCAUUAACCAUGAAGAGCCCUGACUCAGCAAAUGCUGAAGACUCUCGAGCUGCUUGCUCCCAGGUGAACUCCAGCUACUCUCCAGGUGCCAACUUGCUGAGCCAAUGCAAAACAGGGCCUGUGCCACUGAGAUGAACUUCGGUACGGCCCACACAGGUGGUGCAGAAGGGCUAGAAAACAGCUGGGAAGUCGGUCUAUCCGUCACAGGUAAUGGGAUUCAUCCUUCCCAGCCUAGGAUGUGGCCCAGCACUGCCGUGUGCUGUUAACACUUGGCAUCUUGGCUCUGCUUCAGUGGUGUGGUGCCACCAUGCCAGAGGGUUUCUAUUGCUCUCUCUUUGGAUCUUUAUCACUGUGGCUCUUUAGGAUUAAACGGGGCUAUUCAGUUUGAAGUCCUGUAUGCUGCAGAUCAUUAUGAAUGCAGCAAGAUAUUCAAAGAUCUUUUUUAAAUGUAUCCAGCAGCCCAGUAAAGCUGGGCAUUAACAGUGCCAGAUCCUCAGCUUGGGCCAAUAGGGACUAUGCCACUCUACAUCACCUGAGGAUCCAGGCCAUCAACUCUGCCGUCCUUUUAAAGUCUGACCUGCAGCUAAAACCUUUCCUGGUGCUAACUGAAGCCCUUUUAGGAAGACUGAAGCUGCAAGCUACAGGGCAGGACUGACCCUCUCCGCUCUGUUCCCAGGGAAAUGCCACACGGUAGUAGUUCUCAGCCCAAUCAGCAUACCACCCCUCAAUUAAACUCUCUUUAAACUUUAAAGGUAUACUUAAAUGUAUUUUUAUGGCCCCAUUACUUUCUCUUUAUAACCCGAGGUGAAGGCUGGAAUCCUGUCUGAGACGUUUUAAAGGUUACAUGAACAAUUCAGCUCUCUCUCAUCAAGUCCUUUCAUAUUUUACUUUAAAAUCCCAAACAAGCCCCACCAGCCACCCUGUGCACAGCAGGGCAGGCC